rnacentral:rRNA from 1 species
UACGAAGGGGGCUAGCGUUGUUCGGACUUACUGGGCGUAAAGCGCACGUAGGCGGAUCGUUAAGUCGGGGGUGAAAUCCUGGAGCUCAACUCCAGAACUGCCUUCGAUACUGGCGAUCUUGAGUCCGGAAGAGGUGAGUGGAACUCCUAGUGUAGAGGUGGAAUUCGUAGAUAUUAGGAAGAACACCAGUGGCGAAGGCGGCUCACUGGUCCGGUACUGACGCUGAGGAACGAAAGCUAGGGUAGCGAACGGG